CGCCACUGGCGGCAGGCUAAACAUGCAGUCGAGCGGAUGAGAGGAGCUUGCUCCUCGAUUCAGCGGCGGACGGGUGAGUAAUGCCUAGGAAUCUGCCUGGUAGUGGGGGACAACGUUUCGAAAGGAACGCUAAUACCGCAUACGUCCUACGGGAGAAAGCAGGGGACCUUCGGGCCUUGCGCUAUCAGAUGAGCCUAGGUCGGAUUAGCUAGUUGGUGAGGUAAUGGCUCACCAAGGCGACGAUCCGUAACUGGUCUGAGAGGAUGAUCAGUCACACUGGAACUGAGACACGGUCCAGACUCCUACGGGAGGCAGCAGUGGGGAAUAUUGGACAAUGGGCGAAAGCCUGAUCCAGCCAUGCCGCGUGUGUGAAGAAGGUCUUCGGAUUGUAAAGCACUUUAAGUUGGGAGGAAGGGUUGUUUCCUAAUACGAAGCAAUUUUGACGUUACCGACAGAAUAAGCACCGGCUAACUCUGUGCCAGCAGCCGCGGUAAUACAGAGGGUGCAAGCGUUAAUCGGAAUUACUGGGCGUAAAGCGCGCGUAGGUGGUUUGUUAAGUUGAAUGUGAAAUCCCCGGGCUCAACCUGGGAACUGCAUCCAAAACUGGCAAGCUAGAGUAGGGUAGAGGGUGGUGGAAUUUCCUGUGUAGCGGUGAAAUGCGUAGAUAUAGGAAGGAACACCAGUGGCGAAGGCGACCACCUGGACUCAUACUGACACUGAGGUGCGAAAGCGUGGGG
rnacentral:rRNA from 1 species